AAAUGAAAAAAAAAUCCACCCAAAAUUGUAAUAGCGGCAAUAACCUGUAGCUCUUCAGCGCACCGCCGUGUAAAAUGCUGUUUGCUGUCGGCGUGGGGUUUCCCCUUUUUCUUUCCCUUUGCCACGGCGGUAAAGCAGAGCUCAGCCGGGAGCCUCGGGACAGAAACUUCCCCGCCGGCUGCGCUUGGGCAGCCCCGGCCCCAUUCCCCGGACGGGACCGUGCUCAGCGGCGUAGCCGUGCUAAGCCCCCGGCCCCUGGGAGAUGCUCGCCUCUUGGCCCGCAGCCUUCCCGGGGGCCGCCCAGCGGAAAAUCUCCGGUGGCCGGGGGUCGGCUCGCGUGUCCUGGCUCUGAUGGUAAAUCUGGCUAAAGCUCCUAGGUCAGGAUCUUGUCCAGAUACAACCCCGCUGCCGGUUUUUCCUCUGCUUUUUCCAAGGUUCCCUUACCCUCUAGGCUUUCUCCUCCAAAUCCCCGCCAGGGCGGUUAAUUUCUUGGGGGGGAAAAAUAUUAAAAAAAAAAAAAAAAAAAGAAAAAAAAAGAAAGAAAGAAAGAAAGAAAGAAAGAAAAACGACCGAACAAACACCGAGGACCGUUCUGAGAUCUUUUUUAGUCCCUUCCCGCCCUGAGUACACCUGCAAAUGGGGGGCAGGGGCAGGGAAUGGGAGGCCACCAGGAAACCUCGGAGACCCACUGCGGAUGGGGUCGGGGGGCCAGGGGGGAGAGCAGAGAGGCCGCGGAGCCCAGCCUCCCCUUCCCCUCUGCGCCGGGCCUUCCUCACCCCGCCGUGCCAGCCCUCCUCGGGGGGAGAGAUAAAAGUGUCAGGAAGGUAACGAGGUGGGUGGCGAGCUCGGAGGGGCCGGGAGCUGUGCCGCAGCCUUCCCGUGGAGGGGAGAGCCCCGCUCCCCCCCGGGCUUGCUGCCCCCGGCCCUGCCCUUGGCCUCUCGCCACCCGAGAGCAGCGGCCACGGGAAUUCACCUGCCAAGGGAGACCUCAGCACGGGGCAGCUCCACGGGGAGGCUCCGAAAUGCAGUCAGGUCUGCAAUCAGCGCCCGCGAGGAAGCGACGCCUGGAGCUGGAGGAACUCCGGGGCCACUUUGAGCUCCCCAUUCCCGUCCCCUCCCGGAGCACGGUGGCUGGGUUGGGGUGCGGGGCAGGCCCAGGGACACGGGGCAUUUUGCUGCCUGACGCCCAGGAAAGCUGGCGAUGCUCUUCUGCUCUGCCCGCUCUCCUCCUGCCGCCCGGAAAGCCGGAGAGCCAGAAAUAAUGCUAACGCGCCUUGGGCUGUGGUGCCCAAACAAGAGAGGGAGAAGUCCUGGUAAAAUGGAGGGAAAGUAGUGGCUGUUUUUUACAACCCAAGUGUAUAAUCGGAUUUUUUUUUUCUCUCCUGAUAGAAAGCAGAUAAAUUUAUGAAGGGAGAGCUAAGAGAAUAAUUACAGGGUGAAGGUAGUUAAAUUUUAUUUCGAGUCCCAAAGGCAAAACCUGACAUUUUAUUGCAAACAUCUGGAAGGCUUAAGAGACUGGCAUGGUGUUUGUUUAAACACUAAUAGAGAUUUUUAUUCUGUAAAACACAAACAAAGCCCAUUUAAAAACACUCGAGACUGUAAAUAUUUUGCGGUGGUUCAAUUCUCCAAGCCUGAGAAAACCGGGGAAACGGGAGGGGAGGGGAACGAAUCGACGGCGUAAUGGGGGUAUAAUUAUGAAUUAGUUAAUAAUAAGCAACAAUACCGUUUGUGUAGACCAUAAAAAUAAAUUGCAGCUGCAUUUUUUUUUUUCGCAGUCGCAGUAAAUGACCCCGCGCAGCCCGGGAACAUCACCUCGCUCGCGUUUCCAGGCGGCCACUCUGUUCGCCUUAAACUCGCCUCUUACGAGAGAGCCAGCCCCGAAAUCCUCCGGUCCGUUUUUAAAAGGACGAUCGGCGUUGCGUUAAAGUCCAGUAAAUCACUCGCUCGCGUUAUCAGACAGCAUUCAGCCCGCACCCGCUGACUAGUUUUAACAUUGUUUUCAAUUACUAACUUUAAAAAAAAAAAAAAUCCCCUAGAUCUGGCUAAAGGACCUUCGAUAACAUUUCCCUUGUUGUGCGGCAGGGCUUGAAACUGGCUCCGCUCAGGCUCUGCGAGCAGAACAUCUGGACAGCACUCCCACCCCGCAGCCGGCUCCCCUUAUUUCUCUCUUUUGCAAAUAUUUCCAUACAUAAACAAAUAUUUUCAGGCUCGCUCGGCGACAACCGGGAAGCAGGAGUGAAUGAUUUCUUUAUAAACCCCAGGGCCUGGCCCUGCGACCCUUGCUCCCGCCACUUUAUUCCAGGGAGCAGUUUCCUGGAUUUAAUGGGAGCUACCCCUGCGAGUGCGGGUCUGGAAGAAAGGCCAGGCAAAGGGGGUGCUUUCUUCUCCAGGGGUCAGAGCGGGAUCUGAGCGUCGCGGCUGAGCCCAGGCCGACCCCAGAUUUCCAGCGGGGGGUCACGGGCAGAAAUCUCCUGCGAGGGAGCAGCCCCGUCCCUUCCCCGGGCGCAUCUCGCCGCUGCCCUUCGCCCCGCCGGCACCGGCAGCGGGCGGGCGAGCCCUCGGGCUGCGGCGGGGAGGGAGAGGCUCGCCCCCGGCCGCCGCUGCCGGGACCGUGGGGAGCUGCCCUCCAGCCCCCGGCAAAGGGAUCUGCUCCCUGGGGCCUGGCCGGUCAGGGGGCGUGUUGGCACGGGAGCUCGGUCGCGUUUCUGCUGCGAAGCCUCCAUCCGUCCCUCCGUCCCGGCUGGGCGGACAGACGGACGGACGGCAGCGCCCGGCGGCAAGAGACUGCGAAAAAGGCUCGGGGCUGCUUUAAACCGGCGACCCCGUAAAACCACACUUAAACCCGGGAAAAUUGUCUUUCUGAGCUCUUACAUCAGCCCCCGAAUUUCGUUUAAAUCGCCCUGCCUUUCCAACACCAUUUCCUCUCGCUAUAACGCUAUAAAUAAUCCUCUGUUUUCUUGGGCUCCCUUUCUAAAUUCUCCCUCCAGCCUCUAUAAAAGCCUCCCUCGCCGCCUGUCUCCCAGGCGGGUGUUUCCGAGGCUUUCGGAAACAGAGGAGAGGGUUUUUGUUUGGGAGACACUCCUUCGCCGUGGGACACGCAGCCGAAGGACCGGGGCGACAGCCGUGCGCCCUUCCCCGUCUCCCCGUUCCUCGGCCAGUCCCGGAGCCCGCUUUAAAACGCGGGCUCCUUCCAAGUGCCUUUCUCUUUCGUUCCCCUCUCCCCCGGCUCUCCGGGCUCCCCUCGGCCCUGCUGGGGGGCACCCCCGUGCCGGGGGGGCGCCGUGCCCUG
rnacentral:lncRNA from 1 species